UACGUAGGGUGCUAGCGUUAUCCGGAUUUACUGGGCGUAAAGGGUGCGUAGGUGGUCUUUCAAGUCGGUGGUUAAAGGCUACGGCUCAACCGUAUUAAGCCGCCGAAACUGGAAGACUUGAGUGCAGGAGAGGAAAGUGGAAUGCGCAGUGUAGCGGCGAAAUGCGUAGAUAUGGGGAAGAACUCCAGUAGCGAAGGCGGCUUGCUGGACUGCGACUGACACUGAGGCACGAAAGCGUGGGGAGCAAACAGG
rnacentral:rRNA from 1 species